rnacentral:pre_miRNA from 1 species
GUUCUACUCCCUCCGUUCCUAAAUAUUUGUCUUUCUAGAGAUUUCAACAAAUGACUACAUACGGAGCAAAAUGAGUGAAUCUACUCUAAAAUAUGUCUAUAUACAUCCGUAUGUGGUAUCCAUUUGAAAUAUCUAGAAAGACAAAUAUUUAGGAACGGAGGGAGUACAUU